rnacentral:tRNA from 1 species
GUAAAAUAAGCUAAUUAAGCUUUUGGGCCCAUACCCCAAAUAUGUUAGUUAAACCCCUUCUUCUACUA